GACGUACGCAUCAAAUCCGUGUGCACAUGAAAUAUAUUGGCUUCCCAUUAGUUGGUGAUCCAAAGUAUGGACCGAAAAAGACAUUGGAUAUUGGUGGUCAAGCUCUACAUGCUGGACU
rnacentral:sRNA from 1 species